rnacentral:lncRNA from 1 species
UGAUCAGCCGCUUCCUGAUGAGAUCUCAGGAGUGAGCUCGAGCAUGCGCAUUAAGAAACAAAAUGGCCGAGUUUAACUGGUAUGUGAACGUUUUAAGAUUUGACUCAGGGGCAUAAAGGCAGAAAAAGAGACUGAGGCAAGUUUUAGGGCAGGAGUGGAAGGCAAGAAUUGAUGUUGCUGCAGACCUGUACGGAUUUGCUGCUGGUUACAUCUACUACAAUACUGCAGAUACAGUAUAACAUUGGUAUUGCUGGUAUGAUUCCUCUCCCUUAGGCUUUCGUAUCAGGAUGAUCUUGGC